rnacentral:rRNA from 1 species
AUUGAACGCUGGCGGCAUGCCUUACACAUGCAAGUCGAACGGCAGCGCGGGAGCAAUCCUGGCGGCGAGUGGCGAACGGGUGAGUAAUAUAUCGGAACGUGCCCAGUAGUGGGGGAUAGCCCGGCGAAAGCCGGAUUAAUACCGCAUACGACCUGAGGGUGAAAGCGGGGGAUCGCAAGACCUCGCGCUAUUGGAGCGGCCGAUAUCAGAUUAGCUAGUUGGUGGGGUAAAGGCCUACCAAGGCAACGAUCUGUAGUUGGUCUGAGAGGACGACCAGCCACACUGGGACUGAGACACGGCCCAGACUCCUACGGGAGGCAGCAGUGGGGAAUUUUGGACAAUGGGCGAAAGCCUGAUCCAGCAAUGCCGCGUGAGUGAAGAAGGCCUUAGGGUUGUAAAGCUCUUUUAGUAAGGAAAAUAAUGAUGGUACUUACAGAAAAAGACACCGGCUAACUCCGUGCCAGCAGCCGCGGUAAGGAUGAGACGU